CCUACGUGAUGCUGCAGUGGGGAAUAUUGGACAAUGGGCGAAAGCCUGAUCCAGCCAUGCCGCGUGUGUGAAGAAGGCCUUCGGGUUGUAAAGCACUUUCAGUGGGGAAGAAAGCCUUGGGGCUAAUACCCUCGAGGAAGGACAUCACCCACAGAAGAAGCACCGGCUAACUCCGUGCCAGCAGCCGCGGUAAUACGGAGGGUGCGAGCGUUAAUCGGAAUUACUGGGCGUAAAGCGCGCGUAGGCGGUCUGAUAAGCCGGUUGUGAAAGCCCCGGGCUCAACCUGGGAACGGCAUCCGGAACUGUCAGGCUAGAGUGCAGGAGAGGAAGGUAGAAUUCCCGGUGUAGCGGUGAAAUGCGUAGAGAUCGGGAGGAAUACCAGUGGCGAAGGCGGCCUUCUGGACUGACACUGACGCUGAGGUGCGAAAGCGUGGGUAGCAAACAGGAUUAGAUACCCGAGUAGUC
rnacentral:rRNA from 1 species